CUCUCUCAUUUCUCUCAGCCCUAUCUCCCUUUAAUAUCAGAACCCUAGCUGCAUCUCAUUUCCUUAUAAUGAAGAAUCCUAGCCGCACCUCAUUACUCACUCUUCUUUGCAAAAACCCAAAACCAGUGAGUUUGCCAUGGAAAUGUAGGCACAUCUAAGCUCCAAUCUUCCCACAAAGGUAAACAUCGACCCUGCCAUUGUUGAAUAUGUGUCCAUUUGAUGAUUUUUAUAUAGAAAUAAGAAGCAAACUAACAUUUGCUUGUUUGAUUUGUGUACGAGUUUCUGGAUCUGCCGAAGAAAUAAUGGGAAAAGGCAGAAUAACACUCCAACAGCUCAGAUGAGAAACAAAAAGGGUAAAAAAUCCGUUGCAUCAACAUGUACGGCUGCUGCAUAUACAACCCAAGAUAGAUGCAGAGGUCCAACAGUCACGAACAAUGGCUGAUCUGGCGUUUGCAAGGGAAAUGGCAAAGAGUGGCUUGGUUAAAUCACAGUUCCAAGCAAACAAAAGAUCCAAAGGAAAACAAAUUAUCAACUGACACAUCUUCAGAUCUGAAAGGUCAUUUUGUAGUAGUGUAUUGGUAAUGUUUUUUAGAGAAUAAAGAGCGAAGGAGUUAGAGAAAUGUGGACUAGAAUUGGAGGUGAUUGCAAGACUGAGUUUUUGGGUUGACAAUUUUUUUAUUAGUAAAUUAUUAAGCCUAUUUGUAAUUUUUCUA